CCUACGGGUGGCAGCAGUGAGGAAUAUUGGGCAAUGGAGGCAACUCUGACCCAGCAACGCCGCGUGAAUGAUGAAGGUCUUGGGUAUGGAAAGUUCUUUUCUACGGGGAGCAGAAACUGACGGUACCUUAGGAAUAAGCCUAGCCGAACUACGAGCCACCAGCCGCGGCAAUACGGAGGCGGCGAUCGUUAUCCGGAUUGACUGGGCGUAAAGGGUGCGUAGGUGGUUUGACAAGUUAGUCGCGCAACUCCGGGGCUCAACUUCGGAAGUACUGCUAAAACUGUUGGACUUGAGUGCAGGAGGGGCAAUCGGAAUUCGUGGUGUAGCGGUGGAAUGCGUAGAUAUUAGGAAGAACACCAGUGGCGAAGGCAGAUUGCUAGACUGAAACUGACGCUGAGGCACGAAAGCGUGGGGAGCGAACAGGAUUAGAUACCCGAGUAGUC
rnacentral:rRNA from 1 species